CGUAGGUGGCAAGCGAUACUCGGAAUCACUAGGCGUAAAGCGCAGGUAGGAGGUUGGAUAAGUCUCUUGUGAAAGCUCCCGGCUUAACUGGGAGAGGUCAAGGGAAACUAUUCGGCUAGAGUGUGGUAGAGGAAGAUGGAAUUCCCGGUGUAGCGGUGAAAUGCGUAGAUAUCGGGAGGAAUACCUAUGGCGAAAGCAGUCUUCUGGACCAUCACUGACUCUGAUCUGCGAAAGCUAGGGGAGCAAACAGGAUUAGAUACCCUGGUAGUCCUAGCCCUAAACGAUGCUCAUUAGGUGUGGGAGGUAUCGACCCCUUCCGCGCCGUAGCUAACGCAUUAAAUGAGCCGCCUGGGGAGUACGGCCGCAAGGUUG
rnacentral:rRNA from 1 species